GAAUCCCGUCUUUGGCACGGAUGUACCAGGGCUUUCGUGAUGCGCUCUCGAAGAGUCGAGUUGUUUGGGAAUGCAGCUCAMAAUGGGUGGUGAACUCCAUCUAAAGCUAAAUAUUGGCGAGAGACCGAUAGCGAACAAGUACCGUGAGGGAAAGAUGAAAAGCACUUUGGAAAGAGAGUGAAACAGUACGUGAAAUUGUUGAAAGGGAAACGCUUGAAGUCAGUCGCGUCGACCGAGACUCAGCCUUGCCUCGGCUCGGUGUACUUCUCGGCCGACGGGUCAGCAUCAAUUUUGCCCCUCGGAUAAUGGCGAGAGAAAGGUGGCACCCUCACGGGUGUGUUAUAGUCUCCCGUCGGAUGCGAGGGUUGGGAUUGAGGAACUCGGCACGUACCGUGCUUAGGAUGUUGGCAUAAUGGCUUUAAACGACCCGUCUUGAAACACGGACCAAGGAGUCUAACAUGCCUGCGAGUGUUUGGGUGGUAAACCCGAGCGCGUAAUGAAAGUGAAAGUUGAGAUCCCUGUCGUGGGGAGCAUCGACGCCCGGACUUGAACUUUUGUGACGGAUCCGCGGUAGAGCAUGUAUGUUGGGACCCGAAAGAUGGUGAACUAUGCCUGAAUAGGGUGAAGCCAGAGGAGACUCUGGUGGAGGCUCGUAGCGAUUCUGACGUGCAAAUCGAUCGUCAAAUUUGGGUAUAGGGGCGAAAGACUAAUCGAACCAUCUAGUAGCUGGUUCCUGCC
rnacentral:rRNA from 1 species